UGGGGAAUUUUGGACAAUGGGCGAAAGCCUGAUCCAGCAAUGCCGCGUGUGUGAAGAAGGCCUUCGGGUUGUAAAGCACUUUUGUCCGGAAAGAAAUGGCUCUGGUUAAUACCUGGGGUCGAUGACGGUACCGGAAGAAUAAGGACCGGCUAACUACGUGCCAGCAGCCGCGGUAAUACGUAGGGUCCAAGCGUUAAUCGGAAUUACUGGGCGUAAAGCGUGCGCAGGCGGUUGUGCAAGACCGAUGUGAAAUCCCCGAGCUUAACUUGUGAAUUGCAUUGGUGACUGCACGGCUAGAGUGUGUCAGAGGGGGGUAGAAUUCCACGUGUAGCAGUGAAAUGCGUAGAGAUGUGGAGGAAUACCGAUGGCGAAGGCAGCCCCCUGGGAUAACACUGACGCUCAUGCACGAAAGCGUGGGGAGCAAACAGG
rnacentral:rRNA from 1 species